AUGAAGGAAGGGGAAAAACAUUUGAUCAACAUUGUGAGGAUUGUGACCUGUAUUCACAGAGUGGACUGUAAAGUGUGGACAACAGUGCAAACCAUCAAACUUGUCCCCAACUUCUCUGGCUGCUCCAGUUUGGCUUCAGCACCUUCUGAUGUGGUCUUCCAGCUGAGGAAGAAGACAUGCAGACAGGUGCAGGAUCUUGGGGGGGCCAGGGUGCUUCUCCUCCACGAUGGCUCUUGUUCUGGAAGCUGCCCUGCACGCAGAGUCAAAAAAACAAAACAGCGUGUCAAACCCAGCAGACGUGGCGACAGGCGAGCCUCGUACAUCUUGUUCCUCUCGCAGCUCUGCACACAAAAAGCAGGAUGUGAGGAGUGGUUGCUGCAAGUCACCCUCCUUCAGAAGAUUGGCUUUAACACAGAUGAGCAUGCAGUAGGAAAAUAGUCAACUGAGGCCAGAAUUUCUAAAACAAAGACAUCUGUUAAGUUUUGCCAUACAGCACAUUUGACAAGAGAUGAAACCCACCAGCAAUGAAGAGGAUGUGACUUGUUUCUCUCUAGGACUUUGUCCAAACGCUCACAGGAAGCGGAGCAUGAAAGAAGGAAAAACAUUUGAACAACAUUGUGAUGAUUGUUCAGUGUAGUCACAGAGUGGACUGUCAAGUGUGUGUGGACACCAGUGCAAACAUCUCAAACUUGUCCAACUCCUCAGGCUGCUCCACAGUUUGGCUUCAGCAUCUUCUGAUGUGGUCAUCCAGCUGAGUAAGAGAGGACAACAUCCAAGGCAAGAAAAAGAGUGAGAUCAACAAAUACUUGUUGUAAUUUGCAUUUAUUUCUCCUGCGGAUUAAAAUAAGUUGAACUUGAGCCGACUGAAGCCGGAAUGACAGUUUCCUCAUUGCUGAUGACCAUCACCAUCAAGACGAGCGCGUCGACCAAUGUGUCGUGACCUCCCUGAAGAAGCCAAAAAGACAUCGCAGGUGCAGGAUUUUGGGGGCCAAGGUGGUUCUCUGCCACAAUGGAACUUGGAAGCCACCCUGCAUGCAGAGUAAGCAAGCGACUGAAGCUUUGGUGGAACUGAAGAGACAGCACUGGAUGAAGUCAAAAGGAUGUCAGUCUUCGACGCAGAUCAAGUCAGACCUUGAAGCAGGAAAUCUGCUUCACUCGUCGGUCCAAGCCGGGUUCAGGUUCUCCAGAGCCAAGAUGCUUUUGCACCACCUAGUGGACAUGAGCGAAGAGUAGUGAAGAGUGUUCAAACCCAGCAUCUCAGUCCUCAGGCAGCGGCGCUUCAAGUGGAGGUUGUCAUAACUGCACACAGAAGCAGGAUGUAAGGAAUGUUUGCUGCAAAGGCACAAUCUUUUACCAUCACCAUUGGAGAUGAAUGCAUUUUGGGUGUUGUGACAUGUUCCCACCUUAAUGAUGUCAUCACAGGAAUAAAUCUGUUAGCUUUUGCCA